UACGUAGGUGGCAAGCGUUGUCCGGAAUUAUUGGGCGUAAAGCGCGCGCAGGUGGUUCCUUAAGUCUGAUGUGAAGGCCCACGGCUCAACCGUGGAGGGUCAUUGGAAACUGGGGAACUUGAGUGCAGAAGAGGAAAGUGGAAUUCCAAGUGUAGCGGUGAAAUGCGUAGAGAUUUGGAGGAACACCAGUGGCGAAGGCGACUUUCUGGUCUGUAACUGACACUGAGGCGCGAAAGCGUGGGGAGCGAACAGG
rnacentral:rRNA from 1 species